rnacentral:rRNA from 1 species
AGGGUUUGAUCAUGGCUCAGGACGAACGCUGGCGGCGUGCUUAACACAUGCAAGUCGAACGGAUUUGUGAGGUGUGAGGUUAGAGGUUAGAAGUGGGAAUUAUAGUAGAAAUCGGCUUCGCCGAUUUCAUCAAAAGAUCUCACAUCCAACUUCUCACCUCUCACUUCUCAAAUUAGUGGCGGACGGGUGAGUAACGCGUGGGCAACCUACCCAUAAGAGGGGGAUAACAGUUGGAAACGACUGCUAAUACCGCAUAACCUAUUGAGGUUGCAUGACCUUAAUAGCAAAGGUGGCGAUUUUACAUUGCUAUCACUUAUGGAUGGGCCCGCGUCUGAUUAGCUAGUUGGUGGGGUAGUGGCCUACCAAGGCAACGAUCAGUAGCCGGCCUGAGAGGGUGGACGGCCACACUGGGACUGAGACACGGCCCAGACUCCUACGGGAGGCAGCAGUGGGGAAUAUUGCGCAAUGGGGGCAACCCUGACGCAGCGACGCCGCGUGAGCGAUGAAGGCUUUCGGGUUGUAAAGCUCUGUUCUAAGGGACGAAUGUCUCUGUUGUGAAUAAUGGCAGAGAGUGACGGUACCUUAGGAGAAAGCCCCGGCUAACUACGUGCCAGCCGCCGCGGUAAUUC